UUUUUUUUUUUUUUAAGCCAAACCAAACCCCAUUCACUCAUAUUAGACCUAAAACAUUCACAAGAGCUCAUGCUAAGCCUUAACUUGCAAAAUAAAACUCAACACAUUUCUAAAUUUCUUUAUUAUCUUAUUCUUAAUUUCUUCCUUUAUUCUGUCUUAGGAAAAGACAACCCCCAGACAAUUACACUUAUUUUUUUCUCCAUAAUUACGGAAGAAAUCAUCAAACAAACCUAAUAGUGGCUUUUGCAGUUACCUUGCUGAUCCAGCCUUGCCUAAGCAGUGUGGGCAGGCUGUGGGGUCAGACAUGCAGCAUUAUGGCUUUUCCCUGCAUCCACAGGGAUGGGACAAGGGAUGCAGGUGCUGCAGGCAGCUGCAGCUCCAGUUGCACCUGUGGGAUUCACACAGCCCAGGGCUCUUGGGCUGCACAUCUUGUCAGUUUGUAAAAUACCAUUUUAAUUUCUGUCUCUCUCACCUGCUGGUGUUGGAAAGCUGCUGUAGGCACUUUGCAGAGAUUGGCACUGGAAGCACCUGACACUUGCUGUUGUAAACUUCAUCCAUCUCCUUGAAAUACUGUUGUGAUGGUGGUUGUCUCAAGGCUCUGUGCACAUGGAGUAAUUGCUGGUGUAAAGACUUUUUUAUCCUCUCGUUAUUGUUACUGAGCACUGCUUUCAUCCAGAAACAUGAAUUGGGGAAGGAUGCCACAGACUUUCACCACUGAAUCUGUCCCUAGAUGGUUUCUUUUCACCCAUGUGAAAUUUAUAAAUAGGGGUGGGGGAUGCAGACAAGCCUAUAAAGAAAGACCUCCAUAAAUCAAAUUCUGCAUUUUCUAAGUUGCUCAAGGAAUGAUUUACUGCAGAAAUGGUGAACAGAUGGAUUCCCACUGCCAUCCAUAGAUGAGUGUGGCAGACCAGUGUGGCUGCUGCUGUUUGUUCCCUUCCUUUCCCUCCUUUGGCUGCUGUUAUGUUGCUGCAUUGGGCAAUCAUGUUAUGUGAAAUGCAGUGUUGCACAUCAUCAUCACAGCAGUGUUGGUAUUUCCUAAAGGUCUUUGUCAUGAUGUUUGUCAGUGCCUGUUUUAAAAUGGCCCAGGCUCCUAGCUUGACCUUUAUAGUUUCUUUUUUUUUUUUUUUUUUUACAAGACACAGUUAUGUUUCAUGCAAGCCACAUAAUUCUUUGGGCUACUUGUAGUAGAUUUAGAAAGCAGAUGCUCCUUGAAUGCCCAACACAUGCAAUCCAUGGGCAAGAGCUAGUGAAGGGUGUUUAAAAGAGGCAGUGGUUCUUGUCACUGUGGGGUUUUCUUGUUCAUUAUCAACUUAGUCAGAAGAUAGGUCACCUUUUUCCUUGGUACCCUUUUAAGGCCAUCAAUAAAGCCAUAUUACGAGGAGGAAACCAAAGGAGAACAUAAUCCAUUUAUUUAGGCUUGUGCCAGCACAGCAAGAGGCUGGAGAGGCAGCAGGGGCCAGAGCCUGCCCUUGGCCUACAGCUGUCCUCUCCUGCUUCCUUUUGCCUUGGAAACAGCCUGACUAUCCUCUGCUGGGAUGCUGCUGGCACAGCAUCACCUGUGCUGGCAGCAAGGUCCCUGCCUGGGGUGGGAUGCAGCCUCUCCCUGGAAGAUGUGGGGAAAGCUGCAGUGGGAAAAGUGCAGUGGGAAAAGUGCAGUGCUGUGGGCAGUGCAGGCACCAGGACAUGCCCAGGUCUCUGCUUUGGGACAGGGACCCAUGGCUGUGCCUGCAAUUCUCUCUCCAGCUCCAAACCAGGACUAGUGGAAUAAUUUUGAAGCAGGACACUAAUGGAGUGUGUUACAAGAGCUGUGCACUCCCCUGUUUGUUACCUGUGCACCAGUUCAGUGAGGAGUCUCUGGGUGUCACACCAUGCUGAGAAUCCAUUGCUGGGGAAGCAAAGGGGACAGCACAUCCCUCAAGCUGGGCAGUGCUUCCUUUUCUGCCUGUUGUGGUUGAUCAGGAGGCUCUCAGGCUGGACUCAGGGCUUUGUCACGCUCAGCAGAAGCAGCAGGCUUGCAGGAAUGGGUCAGUAAAUCUCUUAGACCCUACAGGCACCAGGCAGAGAUCACCCCAGCCAUGCUGGCAUGUGCUGGGACCCUGCCCCAGACCCUGCAGCCCUGCUCUGCUGUGUGCCCACACCAAGCUGUGUGUGGGGAGGUGAUGGCAAAGCCCCCCAGCCCCCGUGGCAGCCGGCAGGUGCCUCCUGCAGGGCACAGCAGCCCUUUGUAGCCCCACACUGCCAUGGUCAGGGCCCCAGCCAUGCCCAGGGCUGCCAAGGCUGUGAGCACCAGCCCUGCAGAGCCCUGGCUGCAUGGCCAGGCAGGACACAAAGAGAGGCUUCCUAUAGAUCCUGCUCCAGGUGACAUCUGGCCUCAUUUAUGGACUUGGAUGGAUGGGGCACCCAGGUCUGUUCAGUCCCAGUAGGAGCCUUUGAUGAAAUCCCUGUACUGACCAAAGACUGACUCUGAAGGGCAGGAUCUCCACAGACAACCUCCUGCACAAGUUGGCGUCCUCCAAGCGUUGAGAGAGAAAAUAUUUAAUGGCUUAAAAAGGAAAAAGAGGCAAUGGAGCAGUUUAGAAAAUGCAAUUUCCUCAACAACUUUGUGAUUUGAAGAACUGGCGCUAUAAAAGGGGAAACCAAAUUUGUGGGAAGGAUGAAAUUAUUUUCCCCAAGCCCAAUAAUCACCCUGGCUUAAGCUAGGAGUUUUUGCUCCACAAACUGCCCCUGUUUUUGCUCCUGUUGUCACAAACUGUGAAACUAUGGUGCAUGCCUAUCAGGCUACACUGCAGUUGCAAAUUAACCAGUGUGUUCAGUAGUCCUCCUUUCACCAUCAAUGUAGUCUUCAGUGAUGCCUGGGGAAGGAAGAGGGUUUUCCUUCAUGUUUCACAGUGUUUCUCCUACUCUCAUAGACUCUUAAUCCUUCAUGGUUUUCUCAGUGCUGCUCAGCCCUGGGAACUCUACCUGGAAUAAGCAAAACAAGUUACAGUGGAGACAAAAGUGACAAAAAAUCAUUGAACUUUACAGCAGAUAACCCAGGGUAUGACUUCCAAAUUAUACCCGGUUACUCAGCAGUCAAAAACACAAGAGCAGCCAGUACAGAUGAAUAUUCACCUGAUUUUACAGUGUAAUUGCUUCUCACUUAAAAUUUGACCUUUUUUUUUCCUUUCCUCCCAGCAUAACCACGUGCUUCCUGCAUUUCCCUACUCUUCAGUAUCAGCAUGUGCUUUGAGUCCUGUAGAGUUGGAGAGGAAUUACUAACAGAACUGAAAAAUAACUCUGAUCCUCUUACCUUUGCAUGCACAAAAUUCUUAGCAAAAUACAAGAAAAAAAAAAAAGGCAUUUCUCUUGUGUUGUGCUUGCACAGUGUCAAUGGCAAAGCAAAGUCUAAGGGCAUAAAUAAGGUGAAAUGUUGCUCUGUGGUGAUGCAGAGACUGAAGGGACUGGGUUUUAAGCAGUGUCCCUCCACAUUGGCUUUUCUGAUAAAGGCAGAAGAAUUUGUAUCAUGCACCAAAAAGCUCAGCUUCCAGCUUUGUGUGCCCCUCUUCUUGUGGUACUUUCCACCUGUUCCCUGUGGGUACCUGGAUGAGACAAAGGAUACCUGUGCUCAGGUAGCUUCUGAUUCAGAUUGCUUCUGGGUUCACUUGAAAUCCCAGUCAGGAACUUUCCGUCUUUACUGUUUUGUAAUCAAAGAUGCAGAGGCUGCAAUUCAGCCAGGAUGUGUUUGCUGGGCUGAGAGCUCUUGGGUACAGCCCAUCCUUCCUUCCCUCCCACUGCAAACACAUCAGGGCAUCCUUCUUUUAAAUACCUACUUUUAAGCUCCCCUAUCAAAAUGUCAGAAUUAUUAGGGAAAAGUGUUUAUUGCCACACUUUCCUUGAUACAUGUGCUGUAUCAUAGAUGGCUUCUGCUGAGUGUGUGCUGGGUGCUUUUGGCAGAUGUUCAGUUUGCACUGGAGGCUGUUUGUGCCUGGCUGGGGGUGCAGGGGAGCAGAGUGGUCACUUGUGCAGGUGGGAUGAUGCUAGGUGACACAGGUUUGGCAGGAAAGGCAGCAGGCUGUGGGGGAUACCCUCAACACUGCUGGGGUACCUGGGGCAGAGCAGCUGAUUCCCACUGAUUUGGGAAGAGGAUUCUAGAAACCCUGAGGCAGGGAGCAUGUUGGGUGACACCUGUGUGGGCUGAGAGCAGAGUGAUACCACCUACAAGAGGGGCUCAUGCCUCCAUCCCUGUUUUUAGGGGAUACAUUGGAGCCUGCCUGCACAUGCCUGCUCCCACUUUGCCUUUGGGAGGGCACCCCAAGACACCAACAGGGAGCAGACUGGAAAAGGGUGAUGCAAAAGGCACCCUGGGCUUUGCUGGGCCUUGGUGGUGCUCCCUGCAAAUGUCUCUCCCUUUCUCAUCCCCUGCUGCAGUUUGGGCUUGGCUCCUGGGCAGGCAGCACUCUGCUCCCUGCCUGCUGUGGGGAGCACGAGGCUCACAUGGACCAAAAUGUGUCAAAAGCAUUUCCUCAAAUAGUCAGUUUUAAUUUUAAUAAGUCGUGUUUAGUAGCCUUAAGGACACUGGCUGUGUGAGAGGAAAGGAUUAUUAUGUCUGAAAACAAAGGGCUGCUGAGAGCUGGUGUGGGGUGAGAGGCAUCACAUCUUCCUUAAGAGAGAGGAGCCCUUGCCAUGUGGUUGGAAAGCGUGGUGGGAUUGACAGGGGAAGCACUUGGACUGAGAAAUCUUCUUUUAGAUUAAGCAACAAAAUUCUGCAUGCACAUACAGACUAGAUCUUCAUACCGCGGCAGGCUUUGACAGUGUACUGCAGCAUUAUUGCUAUUUAUAAUCCACAAUUACUAACACUAUAAUCCAGUAAAUUUAGUGGUAGCAAUUACAGCAACAUAAAUAGCAAUCCAGAUGACUAAAGGCAUUGCUGUCAAUGCAGGUGGCAGCUACAGCAUUAGAAAAAGAAGUUGGAGGGAUGAUACCAGGACUCGAUAUGUGAGCUUGGGUCUGCUAGUCUUUUAUAUACCAUUUUUAAUAUACUUCCUGAAAUGAAGCUUCAGAAAGGUACACUGCCUCUUUAAAAUUAGUCUAGGAACUACAGGUAGUUCACAUUAUUUUUAAAAUAAUAAAUCUCUAUAUAUAUCUAUAUUAAAAUAUAUAUGUAUACAUAAGUUGGCUAGCCUACCUUGUGGAAAGGCUGCAGCUAAACUAAGUCUGAGCUAAUAUUGUAUUACCAUGGUCCUCUGGUUUGUAGAUAGCCCUUCCUUAUUAGAUGAGGUUCUGUUCUUGCUCCACAGAAGGUGCCUGUGUAUAUAACUCCUUUGUAUUGCUUUCUGCAGAGUCCCUUAUAUAUUUCUUACUACUAAUGCUGUGUAGAAAAGGAAACCCAGAGAUUUUACUACUGAUAAUUAACCAUAUAAUGGCCAUUAGCAAAAUAAAGAUUUAGUUGUUUGGGAAACAGAUUAUUUAUAUUGUGUAUGGUUUAUUGCCUGAUAACUUGUUUGGUGACUGGAUAUUCUUUUCCUUCUCCUAGUCCUUUUCUGCUUUUUCCAGCUAUGGUGUUUACUCCUCACUUUGA
ensembl:lncRNA